UAAACGCACUAGGGGUGUUUUGAACUGAGAUGAGGUUUACCCUCAAACCCUUUGAACCUGAUCUAGCUAGAUACUAGCGUAGGAAAGUGUAAUUAACAAAGA
rfam:Streptomyces sp. WAC00263 NODE_26_length_13736_cov_129.046371, whole genome shotgun sequence.